GCACAUUGCAGUCAACAAUGGACGAGGACGUCCAAUCCUCUGAGAUUCCCGCAGACACCAGCACAGGUUCCUCAGAGGAGAUGAGGGCGGAGCUGCUGGAUGAAUGUGAGGAACAGUUUGGACUAUUGCAAAAGCUUCAGAACGAGAUCAUUUUAGCAGACCCAGACUGCAGUGAUGGAGAAUCAAACGAGGCCAUGAAUCGUCUGAAUGCCAUCAGUACGGAGCUUGAGCAGUGGCAAGAAAUGGAACCUAAAUUGCUGUCCACAAACCCUGAAAUUCUAUUGGCUCUUGGGAAGGAAGAGCUGCAAAGGCUAAACAGUCAGCUGAAGAUGGUUCUCUCCUGCUCCCAGGCAAAGCGAGACUCUCUUAAAGAUGUUUUACAGAGGUGUGCUACUUAAUUAUAUCUAAAUCAUAUAUAUAUAUAUAUAUAACACCUCAGUCUGUUUUUGCUUUAUCUGCUGAAACAUCUGAACUAGUGCUGGGCGGUUUACCAGUUCAUACAAUGUACCUUAAGGGAAUUUAGAACCAUUAUGCAUUUUUCUCAUACCACCAUACCACUAGAGGUGCUGCGGAGCGCUGUGUAGAACAGCACCGCCAAGGAAGCACAGCUCGCUAGGUAACACUAGCCAGUUAGCAUAACAAGCUAACAUUAUGGAGCCUAAACACUUGAGAACCGCACUUUUUUUAUCCCACAGUUGAGCCCAGAAACAGUCCGGAGUACAAAAUCAUUUAUUCAGCAAGUGAUAAAAAAAAAAAAAAAAAUCUUGAAGAGCUGUAACUCUAGCCCUUUUAAAUAUAUCAAUACUGUAGCUUGAAGGAAAGUAUUAAUGCAC
rnacentral:lncRNA from 1 species